rnacentral:lncRNA from 1 species
AGUAGUUUUCUUUGUUGGAUUUUAUGGGGUGAUUCAAAGGGGAUUCAUGGUUCAAAUCAUAUUAGGUUUAUAGAUCCGUUUAUUUCGUUCAUACUUAGAUUCUUUUGGGAUAUCUUUUACUUAAUGCAUGUGUUUGGAUUGAUCACCAAACGCUGAUCGAAGAGGUUAGGAGCUCUAAUCGAGUAAACCUAAUCUCGGACAUAGUGUUACCAAUCCUUCAUGUUGUUGCCUGCAUAAGUUGAGUAACAGGACUUAGAGUACUUAGCGAAUCCAACCCUAAUGCGUCGAACUAUGCGUCGUUGCCUGCGUAAGUUGAGUAACAGAGUAUAGGGAGAUUUUCCGGUUAUUCUAUAACCUAGGAUAACUCGUUCAUUCGCCUUUCAUAGUUAUGAACUAGAAAGAAAACAUAGAAACCAUUGAGAUCUAAACCCCAGUUAGUCGAGAACCAUGAUUCUCGGAGAAACCCCAGAACGCCCAACGCCUUAGUCAUAUUAGCUUACAACCGAUUAUCAUCUUAGCUUUCAUUAGUUCAUUUAGCUUUCAUUUAUUUGCUUUCUUAUUUCAUUGCAUUAGUUAUUAGGAAACCCAAAACCAAAACACCAAAGUUUAGUUUUGUCUUAGCUAGCUUUUUUUUUUUGAAUUUAAUAACCUGUAGCUACACUCUCUGUGGGAUCGAUCCUUAAAUACUAUUCUGAUUACUGUGCACUUGCAGUUUAACAUGUGGUCUUUCAGGUAAAAGAUUGAAGCAGAAAAUUCACACGCAUCAAGCUUUUUGGCGUUGUUGCCGGGGAGUGAAUCAAGCUACCAUUGAAUUCGAUAAGAGAUUUCCUCUAAGAUACUUUGAGUUUGACGUUUAUAUUCUCACUUUUACUUUUCUUCGAUAACUUCGUUUUCCUUUUAGUUUCUGUUUUUGAUACCUGCAGUACAUGACAAGGAGUCAAAACUCAGGUGUGCCGCCAUACCAAGAUAUAGGAAGACUAGAACAUGAAAUCUGGAGACUUCAAAGACAACAACUUAUGGCCGACCAAAGAAACCCGCAAGACGGAGACCUUGGUGUGGAUGUCGGAUUCGCACACUCAAGUAUUUUUAUGAAGUAGGAAAGAUUACUCUUGAGGGACAAAAAUGAAUAUGUAAAAAGCUUAUGAAUUGUUACAAAAAUUGCUAUAGUAUUUCUUACUCGAAAAAGAUGGAUCCCCCUUACAUUGACAUUCGCCCUUAUAUUUAUACAUAGAAUAACAACACUUAAAUGCCUAAUUAAGUACAAUUAUUCUCUCUUACAUGUGUCCGUUUUGAUCCUUGACUUUAAUGCUUAACGCUCGAAUUUGAGGUGAUUCCGAUCUUCAUGGGCUUCGCCAGUCGGCCCAAAUAUCCUUGGACCGACUUAACUGUGACUUCGACUCCGGACUCAUGUCGAGGUGCAGUCACUUCGACAUGAGUGAAUCAAGCUUUUUGGCGUUGUUGCCGGGGAGUGAAUCAAGCUACCAUUGAAUUCGAUAAGAGAUUUCCUCUAAGAUACUUUGAGUUUAACGUUUAUAUUCUCACUUUUACUUUUCUUCGAUAACUUCGUUUUCCUUUUAGUUUCUGUUUUUGAUACCUGCAGUACAUGACAAGGAGUCAAAACUCAGGUGUGCCGCCAUACCAAGAUAUAAGAAGACUAGAACAUGAAAUCUGGAGACUUCAAAGACAACAACUUAUGGCCGACCAAAGAAACCCGCAAGACGGAGACCUUGGUGUGGAUGUCGGAUUCGCACACUCAAGUAUUUUUAUUAAGUAGGAAAGAUUACUCUUGAGGGACAAAAAUGAAUAUGUAAAAAGCUUAUGAAUUGUU